GGAUUGCGUAAGGAGGGUGGCCCAUAAAUAAUAAAAAUGAGUGGAACCUGGAAGAAAGAAAAAGAGAAGGGAGCUGUGAAAGCAUUUCUUACUAGCGUGGCCUCGUGUUUCCUAAGCCUAGAGGAAUGAAGCGCAGCAGAAAACACUGAGCUCGGCUGGGGAGGAAAGAGAAGAAUGCAGGCUGGGCCAAGGGAGUCAGCCGGGAAAGAAGAAAAAGAAGAAAAAGGGAUCGAAGGGCUGCACUGUUUGGAGUUUAGGGAUCGACGUAUGGUUCUGAGAAAGAGUAAAAGCCAGGGUGGCUUAUGGUCAAUCACUUAAAUGGACAUGGAGAAUGAUA